AGCCCAAGAGCCAUCUCAGCUCCCAUCAGCCCUUGGAGACUUCUGCCCUUCUCUGAACACUGGGGGCCUUCAGCAAGCAUGUGCUUGCUGCCUGGUGUCCAUUCCCAACUGCGCCGAGGGUGUUGUUGAACAAUAUCACACAUCUAUCAAGUCCCCCUUUGUAUCAGACACUCUUCUGGGCAUUAGAGAAACAAAGACGGAGAGAGUUCUUGCCCUAAGUUCACAAACAGAAUGGAGAGACUGGCAGGUGAGCAAAACAUUAAAAGUUUGUAAGAUAAGCACCGUGAUGAGGGCCUCAGCAGAUUUACAGUAGAGAGCGGUGAGGAGGUUCUGAGCCCACGUUGACUUGGUACCACAUGCAAUCAAAGCACUUUGUUGUUGGCCCAGGAGCUGCGACCGAGAGCUGGGGGUCCCCAGUGGCCUGAUGCUGAGCAGCAGCGAACUUUGGGGAAGCCACUGACACUCCAAACCGAGCUUUGCUCAUUUUAAAACUGUAACCACAACAUUAAAAUUUCUAAUUUACUGAGAGAGUUAAAGUUGUGGCUUGAAAAUUGUAGAGCAAAUAAAUUAUAUGAAAAGAUGAACGGGACCGCCCUCAGAGCACCGUUGUAAAGAUACAUCUACUUCAUGCAUAGGAGGCUGCUUAAACACCUGAAGAGCUACACGGAUGUCUGUACAAUUUCAAAAUUAAUUAACAACUGUUCUUCUCAUCUUCUCCUUGGUUAAAGCCAAAAGUCAAAGAUGAAAAGGUGGACAUGGGCCCUUUCAAAGUACCCUAUUUUUGUACAGGACAAUGCGAUCCAGAGUUUGAUCAAAUAUCAGGGAGAUUUACAUGUGGCUGACUUUGACUAAAUUGACAGCAGCCUUGAUUAGUAUAUUUCAUCUGCUCAUAGUAAACCAUGACAAUAAAAAUUGAAUGAACUCGUCUUAAUGCUAAUCAAAUUGAGUGGAAUUUCAUUUGACAGAGCUUAAUUAUUUGGCAAACACAGUAACCUACAAGACUAAAACAAGAGAGCAAAGCAGAAAUGGCUUUAGACCCCAGGCCUGCAGCUACAGCUGUGAGUCAGGGUGACAUAAAUCCUUUUACUGGAUUGAGACUAAAAGUGUCCUUGUGUCUUUUCCUAACCUGGGUCUUCCUUGUUGCUCAGGCUAUCUCCAAAGAAAUUCUCUAUUCGCAUUUCUUCAGUGUCACGACUGAAGGGAUGAGCCCCUUAAAAGUAGGUUAGAUACUAGCCAGCCAGGAAUAGAAAAAAUUCAGUAGAGGCUUGGAAGUCAGUGAAUUGUUUGUGCUCUCCACCCUAACCAGUUAAAAACCAGUAAAGAAUGAGGGGAAAUGGACUUAAAUGAAAUCAAAUGGGCUUGCUAACAUGCCCCCAUUUUCUCCAUUUCCUAAUCCUUUUAUAAAUUCCAUUGAGAUAGGAUUUGCCUUUAGACUGAUUAUGUGACUUAAAAAUCAGCAUAAUUACGAGAUAUUUGUUGAAAGGAAGUUCCUCAUCUUGUCUGUUUGGUUUCCUUUCCAGUGCUGAGUGGCGGGUGACCUGGCUGCAACCAGGUCCCACCUGGGACGUUCCCCUCUCAGAGGUAAGGAGAACCUUCCUGAUAACCUUAAAUGAGGAAACCAGGGCCCGAAAAAAAGCAGAUGAUUUUUCCAGCAACUCAGUGGCAAAGCCAAGAAUGAGGCUCUUGUUUUUCUCUUGUUUUGUUUUGUUUUUUUUAGAGGUUUUUUAGUGAAUUCACUUAGUAACAUUAAUUGUUGUUCAUGUAAAACUAGAAAAUGGAAUCUUGAAAACACUAAGUUGAACUGUAAUAUCACAAAGCCAAUUUUUAGCAGUAACAUGAAUCAGGUAAUAAAUAGCUCCGUUUGGUCAA